rnacentral:rRNA from 1 species
GAUGAACGCUAGCGGCAGGCCUAAUACAUGCAAGUCGAACGGUGUCUUCGGACAUAGUGGCGCACGGGUGCGUAACACGUAUGCAACCUACCUUACAUUGGGGGAUAGCCUUUCGAAAGGGAGAUUAAUACCGCAUAAGACAGUAGCUGGGCAUCCAGCAGCUGUUAAAGAUUUAUCGAUGUAAGCUGGGCAUGCGUCCAAUUAGCUAGUUGGUGAGGUAACGGCUCACCAAGGCAAUGAUUGGUAGGGGAACUGAGAGGUCAAUCCCCCACACUGGAACAGAGAUACGGGCCAGACUCCUACGGGAGGCAGCAGUAGGGAAUAUUGGGCAAUGGACGCAAGUCUGACCCAGCCAUGCCGCGUGCAGGAUGAAGGCGUUAUGCGUUGUAAAUUGCUUUUAUACAGGAAGAAACGACUCUUGCGAGAGGCAUUGACGGUACUGUAUGAAUAAGCACCGGCUAACUCCGUGCCAGCCGCCGCAGUAAGAC